GCCAGUGUGGUGUAGUGGCUAGAAUAUCGGGCUAAGACCUGGGAGAUCAGGGUUCGAAUCCCCACUGGGCCA